rnacentral:rRNA from 1 species
UACGAAGGGUGCAAGCGUUACUCGGAAUUACUGGGCGUAAAGCGUGCGCAGGCGGUUUUGUAAGCCAGAUGUGAAAUCCCCGGGCUCAACCUGGGAAUGGCAUUUGGGACUGCAAGGCUGGAGUUUGGCAGAGGAGACUGGAAUUCCUGGUGUAGCAGUGAAAUGCGUAGAUAUCAGGAGGAAUACCGAUGGCGAAGGCAGCCCCCUGGGUCAAGAUUGACGCUCAUGCACGAAAGCGUGGGGAGCAAACAGG